UCGGACGUGGUGCACGGCGCACACCCGCUUCGCGUGCUCAUUGUUGCAAACUGCUAAAGAUAGUGAUGCGGGAAGCCUGGGUUCGACUCCCAGCGUCCGAA